rnacentral:rRNA from 1 species
AGAGCGAACGCUGGCGGCAGGCCUAACACAUGCAAGUCGAGCGCCCCGCAAGGGGAGCGGCAGACGGGAGAGUAACACGUGGGAACGUACCCUUUGGUUCGGAACAACACAGGGAAACUUGUGCUAAUACCGGAUAAGCCCUUACGGGGAAAGAUUUAUCGCCAAAGGAUCGGCCCGCGUCUGAUUAGCUUGUUGGUGAGGUAACGGCUCACCAAGGCUACGAUCAGUAGCUGGUCUGAGAGGAUGAUCAGCCUCACUGGGACUGAGACACGGCCCAGACUCCUGCGGGAGGCAGCAGUGGGGAAUAUGGACAAUGGGCGCAAGCCUGAUCCAGCCAUGCCGCGUGGAUGAUGAAGGCCCUAGGGUUGUAAAGUCCUUUCGACGGGGAAGAUAAUGACGGUACCGUAGAAGAAGCCCGGCUAACUCGUGCCAGCAGCCGC